rnacentral:lncRNA from 1 species
AGAAGUUAAGGGAGAAAAACCUUGCCUCAUAUGCGAUUCCGCCUAACACAUUGAACUCUGGGGGAAGAGGACUUUUCUUAAAUCCCGUAUCAGUUGGAUUUUAAAAAAAGGGGAGUCCAAGACUAUUCAGUUCAGUUAUCCACCCUUAAACGCGGAAGGCGUCAUAGGAUUUGAGCCCUUUAGGACUGGAAAUUGGAUAUGGAAUCACACCAAUAUCCUUGGCGGCCACAUCGUGCGAGAUUACCAGAACCUCUUUACUACUUACCAUCAUUCCUCAUAUUAUUUGAUUUAGAUCCUUAUCUUAGUGGCAAGAUGACUUCUCAACAGGAUAUGAACGCGCUUUCUCAACCUAUCUCAGAGGAUUCCAUUUUUCCGUUCCGUAAGGUCUUUUUUUUAAUUGAAGGCUCCAGGACCAGAUAGGAAAGCAUUGAGCUAGGAUGACUUCACUACCUUAGUCUAUUCACCCUCGGAUCAAUUCACUGNN